UACGAAGGGUGCAAGCGUUACUCGGAAUUACUGGGCGUAAAGCGUGCGUAGGUGGUUUGUUAAGUCUGAUGUGAAAGCCCGGGGCUCAACCCCGGGAGGCGGGUGGAUACUGUCAAGCUCGAGUCCGGAAGAGGAGUGUGGAAUUCCUGGUGUAGCGGUGAAAUGCGCAGAUAUCAGGAGGAACACCAAUGGCGAAGGCAGCACUCUGGGACGUGACUGACGCUGAGACGCGAAAGCGUGGGGAGCAAACAGG
rnacentral:rRNA from 1 species